rnacentral:rRNA from 1 species
UACGGAGGGUGCAAGCGUUAUCCGGAUUCACUGGGUUUAAAGGGUGCGUAGGCGGGCAGGUAAGUCCGUGGUGAAAUCUCUGAGCUUAACUCAGAAACUGCCAUGGAUACUAUUUGUCUUGAAUAUUGUGGAGGUGAGCGGAAUAUGUCAUGUAGCGGUGAAAUGCUUAGAUAUGACAUAGAACACCGAUAGCGAAGGCAGCUUACUACAGGAAGAUUGACGCUGAGGCACGAAAGCGUGGGGAGCAAACAGG